UGUAGUGCGGGGGCGUUUCCCAUCGUAGCCGCAAUAAUACAAAAUAAAUAAUUAUAUAAUAUCAGAGAUAUAUAGUAUUCGAGCUUAUUAAUAAUCGUUACGUAUGAUUAUGUUGUUUGAAUAUUAGGUCCAUGGAUGUGUCAGGGUUGGCGACGGAAGGGACGGGUUGUGUGAUGGACCUGCCGGGACUUGGGGGCGGGGCAAGGGGCGUGGCCUGGCGCGUGAGGGCCGGGGAAGGGAACAGCCAAGAUGGCGGCCGGGCAGUGGCCCAUGUACAUGCUGGACUACGGCGGCCUCAAUGUUCCGCUUCCGGGAGCCAUGAAUUAUUCGGACCUCAGUUUCUGAACCAGAACCUCCGAACAAAAGAAAACAAAAGAAAUAAUGAACGGUCCAGAGAGAACGUUUCAGGGCGUAUCAUUAGGAAUGUCUUCCGGGAAGAACGCAUGAUUCAAAAGUAG
rnacentral:lncRNA from 11 species